rnacentral:lncRNA from 1 species
GCUAGGGAAAGCCUUCAUGGAAAGGGUUUCAUCUUUCUGAACAUUCACCACACUGGUGGACAAAUCCUUUUUGUGUGAGGAAGAUGUGGCUGUUGGGAGAGUCAAGUAAUUGAAUGACGUGAAUUUCCUGGAGUUUCCAUAAGUUCCUGUAAAUUUAGCCUCCAACUGAAAUAAACCAACUGAAUGUAAGACAUCAGACCCUAAAGAACCAAAGUUGUUAUUUCUGUGGAAGACCAGCCAACCUAUUCUCACAGCUGAAACAAUGGAUCUGGCCUGCAGAGUGUUAAGGCAUUCUCCAAGUUUCAAAACAAGAGUACACCAUUUUGAAGGCCUAUAAAUAGAAAGAAUUUUUCAAAUAUUAAUUCAGUAAUGACCUCUGUCUUUGGAAAAGAUAAUUGCAAUGUGUUACUGCGAACCAAUUUAAACCUGUAUUUCUCAUUGCAUUUAAUAUUUAAUUUUGUUUUUUAUCAUUAUAUAUCAACAGUUCUUUCUGGAGCAAAGCAAUCCUAUUUGACUUUUUUUUUUUUUAACCUUAUAGUGCACACACACAUGUAUGUGUAGGGUUAUUUAAACAAGGAAACAUUUACAUCAAAAUGUGCAAAGAGUUAUCCUGGAAUAGAAAUGCUGAAAAUAUAUUUUCAAGAAGUUUUAAAAUUCUAGGCUGGCCUCAAUGUAUUCAGUAGCAUGCCAGAAACAGAAAAAAAAAUUUAAUCUCUCCAUUUGCUUAUUCCUAUUAACAUAUAUAGAAAAAAAACUUGCUCUAAACCUAAUGCCUAUGCGAUAUGUUUGUUUCCUGAUGCUGAUGAUAAAUCAUAACCGGGCACUUGGUUAUAUUUUUUAAUGUUCUACAUUUCUAGCACUGCUACUGUAUUCACAAUGAGCUUUAUAUCUGACAGUAAUUUUAUUUUCAGGUUCAGUCAUAUGAUGCCUUUCUAUAGGAAUAGGUUCUAUCACAGGAACAAAUUAUUCAAAUCUAGUUUAACGGACUCAGCAAUUCUCCUCAGUUUUAUCUUGGGCAUUUUGUAUUCCUUUGCCUAAACCUAGUGGCUAUGUAACAAUUCAAUUACCAAAGUCCUUCAUCCAGAAAGUGCUGUUGAUUUCCAGUAAUUCUUAUUCUGUUUGAUUUCUUUUUUUUUUCCUCCUAGUUUAACACAUGCCAGUUGGUGUCGACUGAGUUAAAAAUCUUGAAAUAAGCCUGGCACUGUGUCAGUACAUAGGUUAAAAAAUGAAACAAAAAAAUUUAAUAAAAUAUACGCUAGAAAUGGAAAAUAAGAUUAGCAGUGGCAUUUCUUGUCAUAAGGACAUUUUCUGUCUAUGCACACAAAAUAAAACCAGCUCAGUGUAGCUGAAGAAGAGAGGAAAGAGAGAGGUGGUAUAAAUUGAAAGACGAAAAGGCAGAGACUGAGUGUACAGAAGCGCGUUGAGAGCAUGCAGUCAGCUGGCAAGAAAAGGCAACUCGAAGAGCCUCAGAAGGUAAAACCUCAGUUGGCAGAUAAAGUGGGUAAGAAGCAAGUUUUGAAAUAAAAUAGCAAUAGCAUAAGCAACUUGAAGGAAGAUGAAAAGAGCAAGGUGAUAAAAGUAUGCAAGAGUCUUUGGAGAUUAUUAGUAAUUUUAGGGAAUUACAAUGAUGAAAAGUUAUAAGGGAAAAAGACUUUACAUAUUCUUUAAUAAAAGAAAAU